UGGAUGCUGGAGUUUCUUAUUUACUUGUAACAGGUCUAUCAAUCUUGUGCUAAGUUUCUGCCAUUUUUCAGGUUAGUACAUUCUUUUCUUACGUCGACAUGUGUUGAUGCUUAGAGUUUAAAGCGCCCAUGUCACAUUCCAUUUGGGCAUAAUGUUUCUUUCAGAUAAAAAGGUAAAUAUUUUUAACUCUAAUUCUAUGCUUAUUAUGAUCUGCCAAAAAUUGUUUCUAACUUGAGCGUCGGAGUAUCUUUUUUGUUUUUCGCAGGUCUUCCUUUCGUAUUCCUAUGACAAAUUCAAUUAGCAGAGUUGUUGAAAUGGAAUGCUGGUGCCUCGUGGGGAAUAUUAUCUGUUUUUUUCCUAUGUUUUGCAUAAAAUUUGUUGCUAACUUGAGCGUUGAAGUAUCUUUUUUGUUUUUUUGCAGGUCUUGCCUUUUGUAUUCCUAUGACAAAUUCAAUUAGCACAGUUGUUGAAACAGAAUGCUGGUGCCUCGUGGGGAACAUUAUCUGUCUUUUUCCCUUUGUUUUGCAUAAAAGUCGUUUCUAACUUGAGCGUUGGAGUAUCUUUUUUGUUUAUUUUGCAGGUCUUGCCUUUGUAUUCCUAUGACAAAUUCAAUUAGCAGAGUUGUUGAAACAGAAUGCCGGUGCCUCGUGGGGAAUAUUAUCUGAUUUUUUUCUAUGUUUUGCAUAAAAUUGUUUCUAACUUGAGCUUCAGAGUAUCCUUUUUGUUUUCUGCAGGUCUUGCCUUUGUAUUUCUAUGACAAAUUAAAUUGACAGAGUUGUUGAAAUGGAAUGCUGGUGCCUCGUGGGGAAUGUUAUCUGUGUUAUUUUUUACUAUGUUUUGCAUAAAAUUGUUUCUAACUUGAGCGUCGGAGUGUCUUUUUUGUUUUUUGCAGAUCUUGCCUACGACCCAUUCAAUUAGCUGAGUUGUUGAAACGGAACGCUAUUACUCUUUGCAUAAAAUUGUUUCUAACUUAGCAUCGGAGUAUCUUUUUUGUUUUUUGCAGGUCCUGGCUUUGUAUUCCUACUAUUGCCAAUAUAUUUAGCAGAGUUGUUGAAACAGAAUGCUGGUGCCUCAUUGAGAAUGCUACCUGUUUGGCUUUUGGAAUUUCAUCAGUUUGCCUUUAGGGUAUGUCUGACUUCUAAGGAUACAAAUGGAGACUGAUCAGUCCUUUGAAUUGUAUAAUAAUGUGACCCUCCUCGGCCCUAAAGGAGGCUACAUUUCGACUUCAAAAGUCUUGCCUGCUUAUAUGGAGGCCACUCAUUAGGGAUAAUUUGUAUAGUGGAAUGCUGGUGCCUGGUAGAGAAUGCUUUCGUGCUUAAAAGUAUACCAGUCUGUUGCCAGGGUUCAGGAAAGAACUAGUCACAAGUUUGAUCCUAGCAUCUACCCGAAUUCAAGAAAUGGUGUAAUGGCUAGAUAUAUUCUGGUGGUGAACCUCCUUCAGUAAUGUUUUCUUGUACUAGUAUUUCUGAAUACAGUCAAGUUCUUGAACCCCUUGUUGCAACAAGUUUCCAAGUUAGAGGAAGCUCUGGAUAACAUCUAAUUAUUUGGUUCAACAAGUACAUUUACUUGCCGUGUUUUCAAUUUCUUCAGCACCUAAGUAAAUCGCCGUGUUUCUGGUAAACCAUUUGUUUUAAUGAAAGCUUAGAAUCAGUUGCAGUUCCUCGGA